rnacentral:rRNA from 1 species
GACGAAGGGGGCUAGCGUUGUUCGGAAUUACUGGGCGUAAAGCGCGUGUAGGCGGUUAUCCAAGUCAGGUGUGAAAGCCUUGAGCUCAACUCAAGAAAUGCACUUGGUACUGGGUGACUAGAGGACCGGAGAGGAUAGUGGAAUUCCCAGUGUAGUGGUGAAAUACGUAGAGAUUGGGAAGAACACCAGUGGCGAAGGCGGCUCACUGGCCCGGUACUGACGCUGAGGUGCGAAAGCGUGGGGAGCAAACAGG